rnacentral:rRNA from 1 species
CCUACGGGAGGCAGCAGUGGGGAAUCUUGCGCAAUGGGCGAAAGCCUGACGCAGCCAUGCCGCGUGAAUGAUGAAGGUCUUAGGAUUGUAAAAUUCUUUCACCGGGGACGAUAAUGACGGUACCCGGAGAAGAAGCCCCGGCUGACUUCGUGCCAGCAGCCGCGGUAAUACGAAGGGGGCUAGCGUUGCUCGGAAUUACUGGGCGUAAAGGGAGCGUAGGCGGAUAGUUUAGUCAGAGGUGAAAGCCCAGGGCUCAACCUUGGAAUUGCCUUUGAUACUGGCUAUCUUGAGUAUGGGAGAGGUUAGCGGAACUCCGAGUGUAGAGGUGAAAUUCGUAGAUAUUCGGAAGAACACCAGUGGCGAAGGCGGCUAACUGGCCCAUUACUGACGCUGAGGCUCGAAAGCGUGGGGAGCAAACAGGAUUAGAUACCCUGGUAGUCCACGCCGUAAACGAUGAGUGCUAGUUGUCGGCAUGCAUGCAUGUCGGUGACGCAGCUAACGCAUUAAGCACUCCGCCUGGGGAGUACGGUCGCAAGAUUAAAACUUAAAGGAAUUGACGG